GGUUAAGCGACUAAGCGUACACGGUGGAUGCCCUGGCAGUCAGAGGCGAUGAAGGGCGUGCUAAUCUGCGAUAAGCGCCGGUAAGGUGAUAUGAACCGUUAUAACCGGCGAUACCCGAAUGGGGAAACCCAGUGUGACUCGUCACACUAUCAUUAACUGAAUCCAUAGGUUAAUGAGGCGAACCGGGGGAACUGAAACAUCUAAGUACCCCGAGGAAAAGAAAUCAACCGAGAUUCCCCCAGUAGCGGCGAGCGAACGGGGAGGAGCCCAGAGCCUGAAUCAGCAUGUGUGUUAGUGGAAGCGUCUGGAAAGGCGCGCGAUACAGGGUGACAGCCCCGUACACAAAAGCGCAUGUGCUGUGAGCUCGAUGAGUAGGGCGGGACACGUGGUAUCCUGUCUGAAUAUGGGGGGACCAUCCUCCAAGGCUAAAUACUCCUGACUGACCGAUAGUGAACCAGUACCGUGAGGGAAAGGCGAAAAGAACCCCGGCGAGGGGAGUGAAAAAGAACCUGAAACCGUGUACGUACAAGCAGUGGGAGCACCCUUUGGGGUGUGACUGCGUACCUUUUGUAUAAUGGGUCAGCGACUUAUAUUCUGUAGCAAGGUUAACCGAAUAGGGGAGCCGGAGGGAAACCGAGUCUUAAUUGGGCGUUAAGUUGCAGGGUAUAGACCCGAAACCCGGUGAUCUAGCCAUGGGCAGGUUGAAGGUUGGGUAACACUAACUGGAGGACCGAACCGACUAAUGUUGAAAAAUUAGCGGAUGACCUGUGGCUGGGGGUGAAAGGCCAAUCAAACCGGGAGAUAGCUGGUUCUCCCCGAAAGCUAUUUAGGUAGCGCCUCGUGAAUUCAUCUCCGGGGGUAGAGCACUGUUUCGGCUAGGGGGCCAUCCCGGCUUACCAACCCGAUGCAAACUGCGAAUACCGGAGAAUGUUAUCACGGGAGACACACGGCGGGUGCUAACGUCCGUCGUGAAGAGGGAAACAACCCAGACCGCCAGCUAAGGUCCCAAAGUCAUGGUUAAGUGGGAAACGAUGUGGGAAGGCCCAGACAGCCAGGAUGUUGGCUUAGAAGCAGCCAUCAUUUAAAGAAAGCGUAAUAGCUCACUGGUCGAGUCGGCCUGCGCGGAAGAUGUAACGGGGCUAAACCAUGCACCGAAGCUGCGGCAGCGACACUCAGGUGUUGUUGGGUAGGGGAGCGUUCUGUAAGCCUGCGAAGGUGGCCUGUGAGGGUUGCUGGAGGUAUCAGAAGUGCGAAUGCUGACAUAAGUAACGAUAAAGCGGGUGAAAAGCCCGCUCGCCGGAAGACCAAGGGUUCCUGUCCAACGUUAAUCGGGGCAGGGUGAGUCGACCCCUAAGGCGAGGCCGAAAGGCGUAGUCGAUGGGAAACGGGUUAAUAUUCCCGUACUUGGUGUUACUGCGAAGGGGGGACGGAGAAGGCUAUGUUGGCCGGGCGACGGUUGUCCCGGUUUAAGCGUGUAGGCUGGUUUUCCAGGCAAAUCCGGAAAAUCAAGGCUGAGGCGUGACGACGAGGCACUACGGUGCUGAAGCAACAAAUGCCCUGCUUCCAGGAAAAGCCUCUAAGCAUCAGGUAACAUCAAAUCGUACCCCAAACCGACACAGGUGGUCAGGUAGAGAAUACCAAGGCGCUUGAGAGAACUCGGGUGAAGGAACUAGGCAAAAUGGUGCCGUAACUUCGGGAGAAGGCACGCUGACAUGUAGGUGAAGUGAUUUACUCAUGGAGCUGAAGUCAGUCGAAGAUACCAGCUGGCUGCAACUGUUUAUUAAAAACACAGCACUGUGCAAACACGAAAGUGGACGUAUACGGUGUGACGCCUGCCCGGUGCCGGAAGGUUAAUUGAUGGGGUCAGCGCAAGCGAAGCUCCUGAUCGAAGCCCCGGUAAACGGCGGCCGUAACUAUAACGGUCCUAAGGUAGCGAAAUUCCUUGUCGGGUAAGUUCCGACCUGCACGAAUGGCGUAAUGAUGGCCAGGCUGUCUCCACCCGAGACUCAGUGAAAUUGAACUCGCUGUGAAGAUGCAGUGUACCCGCGGCAAGACGGAAAGACCCCGUGAACCUUUACUAUAGCUUGACACUGAACAUUGAGCCUUGAUGUGUAGGAUAGGUGGGAGGCUUUGAAGUGUGGACGCCAGUCUGCAUGGAGCCGGCCUUGAAAUACCACCCUUUAAUGUUUGAUGUUCUAACGUGGACCCGUAAUCCGGGUUGCGGACAGUGUCUGGUGGGUAGUUUGACUGGGGCGGUCUCCUCCUAAAGAGUAACGGAGGAGCACGAAGGUUGGCUAAUCCUGGUCGGACAUCAGGAGGUUAGUGCAAUGGCAUAAGCCAGCUUGACUGCGAGCGUGACGGCGCGAGCAGGUGCGAAAGCAGGUCAUAGUGAUCCGGUGGUUCUGAAUGGAAGGGCCAUCGCUCAACGGAUAAAAGGUACUCCGGGGAUAACAGGCUGAUACCGCCCAAGAGUUCAUAUCGACGGCGGUGUUUGGCACCUCGAUGUCGGCUCAUCACAUCCUGGGGCUGAAGUAGGUCCCAAGGGUAUGGCUGUUCGCCAUUUAAAGUGGUACGCGAGCUGGGUUUAGAACGUCGUGAGACAGUUCGGUCCCUAUCUGCCGUGGGCGCUGGAGAACUGAGGGGGGCUGCUCCUAGUACGAGAGGACCGGAGUGGACGCAUCACUGGUGUUCGGGUUGUCAUGCCAAUGGCACUGCCCGGUAGCUAAAUGCGGAAGAGAUAAGUGCUGAAAGCAUCUAAGCACGAAACUUGCCCCGAGAUGAGUUCUCCCUGAGACUUUAGGUCUCCUGAAGGAACGUUGAAGACGACGACGUUGAUAGGCCGGGUGUGUAAGCGCAGCGAUGCGUUGAGCUAACCGGUACUAAUGAACCGUGAGGCUUAACCUU
rnacentral:rRNA from 2 species